rnacentral:rRNA from 1 species
UGGGCGAAAGCCUGAUGCAGCGACGCCGCGUGAGGGAUGACGGCCUUCGGGUUGUAAACCUCUUUCAGUAGGGAAGAAGCGAAAGUGACGGUACCUGCAGAAGAAGCGCCGGCUAACUACGUGCCAGCAGCCGCGGUAAUACGUAGGGCGCAAGCGUUAUCCGGAAUUAUUGGGCGUAAAGAGCUCGUAGGCGGUUUGUCGCGUCUGCCGUGAAAGUCCGGGGCUCAACUCCGGAUCUGCGGUGGGUACGGGCAGACUAGGGUGAUGUAGGGGAGACUGGAAUUCCUGGUGUAGCGGUGAAAUGCGCAGAUAUCAGGAGGAACACCGAUGGCGAAGGCAGGUCUCUGGGCAUUAACUGACGCUGAGGAGCGAAAGCAUGGGGAGCGAACAGGAUUAGAUACCCUGGUAGUCCAUGCCGUAAACGUUGGGCACUAGGUGGGGGGGACAUUCCACGUUUUCCGCGCCGUAGCUAACGCAUUAAGUGCCCCGCCUGGGGAGUACGG